GACGAACGCUGGCGGCGUGCUUAACACAUGCAAGUCGAACGGAAAGGCCCAGCUUGCUGGGUACUCGAGUGGCGAACGGGUGAGUAACACGUGGGUGAUCUGCCCUGCACUCUGGGAUAAGCCUGGGAAACUGGGUCUAAUACCGGAUAUGACCAACUGUCGCAUGGUGGUUGGUGGAAAGCUUUUGCGGGGUGGGAUGGGCCCGCGGCGUAUCAGCUUGUUGGUGGGGUAAUGGCCUACCAAGGCGACGACGGGUAGCCGACCUGAGAGGGUGAUCGGCCACACUGGGACUGAGACACGGCCCAGACUCCUACGGGAGGCAGCAGUGGGGAAUAUUGCACAAUGGGCGCAAGCCUGAUGCAGCGACGCCGCGUGAGGGAUGACGGCCUUCGGGUUGUAAACCUCUUUCACCAGGGACGAAGCGUGAGUGACGGUACCUGGAGAAGAAGCACCGGCCAACUACGUG
rnacentral:rRNA from 1 species